GGAAAUGUGCCCGAAUCUAAGGAUUACUUUGAUAGAGUAAAAUAAAGGGGUUUGAACCCCCUCAUUUCCU
rnacentral:tRNA from 1 species